rnacentral:lncRNA from 1 species
CCCGGACCCUCGAAGCCAGUUCCUUGCGUCAGUGCCGCGGCUCUUUAACCCGAAGGGAGAUUUUUUUUUUAAAGCCAGAGGCCGUUGACGCUGGGUAGCCUUUGGCUGGGGUUGGUUAUGAACUCCGACACAGCGGUGGUGCAUACGGAAGGGUGGUAGCCGGGACGGUUCCGGUCCCUGCGAGCGUGUCCCGGGCGUCUCCGCGGAAGUUUCACCUGCCGCGCCGCUCGAUCGCCGGGACCUCCUGGGUCUCUGCUGUGCGUAGACCAGCCGCGUUCCUUUGGGUGGCCGUGGAGCACUAAAGCGGGGCUUAUUGUUUGUUUGGUUUUGGUUUUUUUUUUUGUUUUUUUUUUGCUUUUUGUUUUUGAACUGAGGAUCUAUCAGAAAUAGGCUGAAAAGACCGAGUGAGGAAGAAACUCUUUAACAGCUAUUUUUGGCAUCUUAAGGUGAUUCUCAGGAGUUGCUACGUAUCAGAAUCAACGGAGGAGUUUUUCAAAGCAGAGAUGCCAGGGCCAGUCCCCAGACCUGAAUCAGGAAGUGAGGGAGAGAGCCGACGGAGGGGGAAAAGUCCCUUCAGCUGAUUCUUAUGUAUGUCAGUUUGGAGAGCCACGGAUAUAACCAAUACUGCGUCCUUCUGAGGUCCCACUUUAAGUGUCCUGGGUUGAGCUGGGUGACAAAUGCCCUUACAACAAUGGUAGUAGAAGCUUUCAGGCCAAGCGCAGUGGCUCACGCCUGUAAUCCCAGCACUUUGGGAGGCCGAGGCGGGCAGAUCACUUGAGGUCAGGUCAGGAGUUCGUGGGCAGCCUGGCCAAUAUGGUGAAACCCCGUCUCUACUAAAAAUAUAAAAAUUAGCCGGGUGUAAUGGCGUGCGCCUGUAAUCCGAGCUACUCAGGAGGCUGAGGCAGGAGAAUGGCUUGAACCCGGCAGGAGGCG